rnacentral:rRNA from 1 species
GACAGAGGGGGCAAGCGUUGCUCGGAAUUACUGGGCGUAAAGGGCGCGUAGGCGGGAUGGCAAGUCGGUCGUGAAAUCCCUCGGCUCAACCGAGGAACGUCGAUCGAUACUGCUGUUCUUGAGGAUUGCAGAGGAGACUGGAAUCCCCGGUGUAGCGGUGAAAUGUGUAGAGAUCGGGAGGAACACCGGUGGCGAAGGCGGGUCUCUGGGCAGUAACUGACGCUGAGGAGCGAAAGCGUGGGGAGCGAACAGG